GAGGGUAUAGCUCAGUGGUACAGUGCAUGCUUAGCAUGCACGAGGCCUUGUGUUCAAUCCCUAGUAACUUCA
rnacentral:tRNA from 1 species